CCUCGCCCGGCCCGGCCCGUCUCACCCCGCACCCGGAGCGCGUUCAGCGCCGUGCAGAGUCCCGUGGAGCCCCCGCGGCUCCGGGAGCUGCAGAGAAGAGGGGAGGGGACCGCCAGGGAAAAGCGGGCGAAGCAAAAUAACCCUCGAAAGAAAAAAGUUCAACUUGCUUUACGAUUAAUCCCGAGGCCGGAUCGAAAUGUCCGAAGCGUGACCUCACGGCCGACGCUGGGAGCUGGUGCCCCCGAGUAACUUCGCCCUUCCAAAAUCAGUUGCCGAGCGCUGUUGUCAGAAAGCGAAUGUGGGGUCUCCGAGUGCCCCUCAGCACCGUGCAGGGGAUGCACUCCUCUAACCGCACGUUUCUAUUUCCUCCGAGGGAAGACUCUAUGUAUAGACGGGGGUGGGCUCUUGUAUGAACUGAAACUCUUUAGAAAUAGAACAGGGCACAUUGGAGGUGGCAAAUUGACACGACAGCAGCGAUGAUACCUGCACGUGCAAGGGAAGCACAACAACCAACACUGCACUUCCAGUUACAGACCCCAUCACUCCGGAUUAAAUACUUAAAGCACAGAACUGGAGAGCAGUGAAGGAUCUUUGCGUCUGGAGGGGGGGGGGAGGAGGACGCAGAAAGUGAUUCCCACGCGAAAGUACUUUGAAAUCAAAGCGGGUCGUUGAGAUGUGAUCCCAUCCCGGAGUGUAGCGGAGAGCUGUGGCUGAGGGCUGCCCGGAUAGCCUACAGCCGACAUUUGGGUACUGGCAAAGAAAUACAAAUAUUUGGACUUGUCAACCCACUGGAGAUUGUACUGAAGUUUCAGGUUUGCUGUCUCGUUCGGUGCGUUUGGUUUAGAUUUGGUGUUUGAGUUAUGCGGGGCUCGCUGUUCCAAAACCUUUAUUCUCGGAUGGGUUUUUACGAUGUCCCUCGCUAAUUUGCAUCAUGUCAACUGGUAACGGUGGGGAACCCAAUACCGGGAACGGGCUACAAAACCACGAGCCGCGCUGACACGCAGGGAAUACGCUGCGCUUUUCCACAGCGUAGAUCUGCUGUCGAUUAGGAAUGUUACAACUUCAAGAGCCUCGUAAAAAGCGAAGGCAUCUGCUCCCAAAUCCCGCCACGUUUGUAGGAUUUAGACGUGACAGCGAAACCCAAUUCGUUUCACGACAGCUCCGCGAGGGGACUGGUGGCACCGAGAGACAGAACCUCCAUCCCUUCCCCAACCCAUCCCAGACCCCGCGCACGGUGAAGGCCCCCCCCGGCCGCGCUCCGAGUGUGCGGAGUGCACCGCACGGC
ensembl:lncRNA